rnacentral:misc_RNA from 1 species
AAGAAGGUUGCCAUGAGCAUGGCAGGCGAGAGAGCCAUGACUCGGUUUGCAGCCUCUGAAGUGGUGCUCUAGAGGAAAGUCGGAAGAGAGGGAUGGACGUGUUCAGAAGAGGCAGUACAGAGGAAGAAGACAGAGGUUGAUAAUGUUAUAUAGAGGCAAGCUCGGGAAAGUUUGGGGAAUCAUAAUGCUCCCCUCUCAGUGCAUGGACAUUUCGUACUACUGGACGUUAAGACUUUUUU